rnacentral:rRNA from 1 species
GAUGAACGCUGGCGGUAUGCUUAACACAUGCAAGUCGAACGGUCACUUCGGUGAUAGUGGCGGACGUCUGAGUAACGCGUGAGAAUCUGUCUUCAGGUCGGGGACAACUGUUAGAAAUGACUGCUAAUACCGGAUGUGCUUUUGCGUGAAAGAUUUAUUGCCUGAAAAAUAGCUCGCGUCAGAUUAGCUAGUAGGUGGUGUAAGAGCCUACCUAGGCUCCGAUCUGUAGCUGGUCUGAGAGGAGGAUCAGCCACACUGGAACUGAGACACGGUCCAGACUCCUACGGGAGGGAGGAGUAGGGAAUUUUACGGAAUGGGCGAAAGCCUGACGGAGCAAUGCCGGGUGAGAGACGAAUGCUUUUGGAUCGUGAACCUCUUUUCUCAAGGGAGAUGAUGACGGUACUUGAGAAAGAAGCAUCGGCUAACUCUGUG